rnacentral:rRNA from 1 species
AAGCCUUUCGGGGUGGAUUAGUGGCGAACGGGUGAGUAACACGUGGGCAAUCUGCCCUGCACUCUGGGACAAGCCCUGGAAACGGGGUCUAAUACCGGAUAAUACCUUCCUCCGCAUGGUGGGGGGUUGAAAGCUCCGGCGGUGCAGGAUGAGCCCGCGGCCUAUCAGCUUGUUGGUGAGGUAGUGGCUCACCAAGGCGACGACGGGUAGCCGGCCUGAGAGGGCGACCGGCCACACUGGGACUGAGACACGGCCCAGACUCCUACGGGAGGCAGCAGUGGGGAAUAUUGCACAAUGGGCGAAAGCCUGAUGCAGCGACGCCGCGUGAGGGAUGACGGCCUUCGGG